UAAGGAUGAGUCUGCGGACUAUCAGGUUGUAGUCAGGGUAAAGACCUGACUAGCCUACGACGGAUACGGGUUGUGAGAGCAAUAACCCGGAGACGAUAUCUGAGACACGAUAUCGGGCCCUACGGGGCGCAGCAGGCGCGAAAACUUCACACUGUGCGAAAGCGCGAUGAGGGAAUCCCAAGUGUUUGCUCGUAAGAGUAAACUGUUUCUUUGUUUAAAAUGCAGAGAGAGUAAGGGCUGGGUAAGACGGGUGCCAGCCGCCGCGGUAAUACCUGCAGCUCAAGUGGUGAUCAUUAUUAUUGGGCCUAAAACGUCCGUAGCCGGUUUAGUAAAUGCCUGGGUAAAUCGUGUAGCUUAACUAUACGACUUCCGGGUAGACUGCUAAACUUGAGACCGGGAGAGGCUAGAGGUACUCCUGGGGUAGAGGUGAAAUUCUGUAAUCCUAGGGGGACCACCAGUGGCGAAGGCGUCUAGCUAGAACGGGUCUGACGGUGAGGGGCGAAGCCCUGGGGCACAAACCGGAUUAGAUACCCGGGUAGUCCAGGGUGUAAACGCUGCUUGCUUGAUGUUAGUUGGGCUCCGAGCCCAACUAGUGUCGGAGAGAAGUUGUUAAGCAAGCUGCCUGGGAAGUACGGUCGCAAGGCUGAAACUUAAAGGAAUUGGCGGGGGAGCACAGCAACGGGUGGAGCGUGCGGUUUAAUUGGAUUCAACGCC
rnacentral:rRNA from 1 species